CUAAUCUUAACAGCCAAGGUUAGAUGAAGCCAUUGAGUUUAGAGCCACAGGACUCUGUCUAGCUCAAUGAGAAAAUAUCAUGCUUUCUCACAAAACAUGAAUCUUAGUAAGGUGCAAUAAGGGACAAAUGCAACUUGGACCUGUGGCAUUUUGCAGAGGCUUUGAGGUUGGCCAAGAUGUUCUGCCUUGCAGCCAGACCAAACAAACUCCAGGUGAUAUAUAAAUGCCCAAGACAUCCUGAAUGCACUGCCCACAUAUUGUUUAUGCUGAUCCAUCUCUUCAUGCAGAAAACCAAAAGUCUAUAUUUCAUCCUGGCUGAAGUCACCCCAUAUAGCAUUAUAAAGUUGGAGGAAGAAAUUCUGACACCAUUAUUCAUUCAUCACUGACACUGGAAAAUUAUGAGAUAUCAUGAGAAUGUCUGAAGAAAGAAAAAUGUUUAUAUUUGACUUCUUGUUUCUUGACCCUCUGAGGUUAUUUGCUUCAUAUUUUCAACUUUUAUCCACAUCCUGGAAGGCUAACAAGUCACUCUAUUUAAUGGAAGCUUAAAUUCUCAUGAACUUCCCUUAUUCCAGCAACUAAGGCACAGAAAAAAACAAAUCGCUAGUCUUGGUGAUAAAACUGAAAAACUUGGCAGCAGCUUUCCCUCCUACUGAUUAGCUCUUUAUUCCAUGAGUAAUCUGAUAUAAAUAAAUGGAGUAAAUCCAUUUACCAGUAGAUAUUAUUCACUGUGAGUAAAACCAGCGGAAAUACGUCCUGUUUAAAACAGAAUUCACUGGAGCAAGCUCCCAAAAUGAUAGUCUUUGUUAGUCUUAUCCAGAUACACAAUGUAUAAAAUGUAUGCACAUACAUACACACACACAUAUCUGUACAAACACAUGCACCUAAACUCAUAAAUAUGGCACCAGGUUCUGAAAUAAGUAGCAGUACUUGGGUUACAGUUCCAGUAUUAGCAUACCUUGCUGUGUAAAACACCAAGUAGUUAUUUCUGUUAAUCUUAAAUCAAGGGAACUUCAUCUGUAUGAAAAGAGAAGAAUUUGUUUAUGGCUUGUCUCUUAAAUGCAAUGUAGCCACAGAAAGAAUGCUGCUGUGUGAUCACAAGGUGGUACACAACAUGAGUUGAUGUGCAUAAACCAGGUUGGCUAGAGGAAGCAUUUCUUGCAUCUGAUAUUAUAAUUACAAAACCCUGUUGUUUGGGCUGCUUAGUUUUCUUGGUUGUAUAGAUUCUUGGUUGUAUAAUAAAUGCACGUAGCAGUCUCUUCUUUAGACAGACGGCUUCAAAUGCCCUCUCUCUUCUGCUUGAACACUGAUUCUAACACUACUUGUAAGAACUUGAUUUUGUUUGAAAUUUCAGCUGCAUCUGUCAAAUUUAUUUGAAAAUCAGCUCGUGUUGUAAAAAAAAAAAAUAUUGUGAAAACACACAGUAUGACUGCAGAAAGAGAGAAAACAAAACAAACAAACAAAAAAAGUCAGCUAAUAGCAGUAAUUCUGCCUUAUUUCUGUAUUCUAUCACAAAUCCCCAUGAGAAAUACUAGCUGGCAUUUGUAAAUGGCAGCUGCUGCCUGUGAGCUAGCACAAUCAAUCUUAAUGCUACUGCAACUACACACAUAAAGAAUAAUCAGUGUCUGUGAGUCAACAGGCUGAAGCAUAUACCAUUUAUUAGUUUCCUCUUAAAAGUAUCUGAAUAACAACUGACCAAGGCAGAAAAGAAGGCAGUAGCUUCUUAUUUUCAUGUCAUGUCUAAUAUGAUUACAGAGGUUUAAUAUGGGGUACUUGAAAAGUCUCACCUUACACAUUCAUCUCACUUUAUUGGUUUGAUAUAAUUGAGACAAAUUAAACCAACUUAAUAGGCUAUAUUCCAUUAAUGUCUUAGUCAUUUGGAACUUUGAUAUCAGCUGUACUCUAGAAAAACAAUGACUUCUAAACUGAUAUUUGGUCCCAUACAUAUUUGGUCCAAUGCAUACAUCUUAUUUAUUGGUAAAGAAUAGAGAAUGAAUUCCCCUGUUCAUUUAUACUACUGAUCAUAGGACAAAGUUCUGCAAAAUGGUAUUAUGGAAUCUCCAUUUAAAAAAAAAAUAAAACUGGAAGUUAUUAAAAAAAAAAAAAAAAAAGUGAGAACUUGUACUAAAAACUUACAAUCCAAACUUUUAGAUACUCAAGUACCACAGAGAAAAAAAUCAAAUUUUAAUAUUAUUUCCCUGUUUGAAGAGUUACAAGUACCAGUGGAUCCCAAAUUGAGUACUCUUAAGACUAGACAAAGUGGUAUUUCCUUUAAUUUGAAGAAAUAAAUGUCCUGAAUGUAUUGCAUGAAUUGCAUCUGGAGCCUUCUGAUUUUUCUAUGGUGGAGCAAAGAUGAAAGAAAUGGAUGGCUGCUCUUUGAAUUGAUAUUCAAUAUUGUGUGUUUGAAACCACCUUUAAGUCCCAUCUAAGCCAGUUGUUUUCAGCUCAUGGGCUGUGAAUACAAGGGACUUGUAGACUACUGUGGUGUGGAAGGUAGCUAUAAAAAAUAAUGUCAAUGGCUCAUAUGAAAAUGUGUUCCCAUCUCUCAGGCUGAAUAGGACAGCCCAUGCAUCUGGAAGGCAUAUUCUUAGUUUAAGCACAUAAGAAGCCCACUAAUUUGAAUGUGGGCAUGCCAAAGCUUAAACUUAAGAAAGCAUAUUUUGCAUAUUUUGCUGAUAUUUUGUUAACCUUGUCUUUUGGAUGUCAAAUGCCCGUAGUUGAAAUAAUCACUCACGUGAAUCUUCACAUAACUUUAACUGGUUUUGUUAUUCUUCUCCAGACGCUUCCUAUUCAUACCAAGACAAUUUAUAUUAAGGCAUCCAAAACUGAACUGUGGUGCAACUGAAAAUGUAUCAUUCCUAAUUUUCUAUUAAAUCAUUAUUAUAGUGAGAUAUUACUUCUAUAAAGUAUUUCUCUAAUCCAUCUCUUUGUUAGUUUAUUUUGGAAAGGCAUAUUCAUUAAACUAAUACUCACAAUGAUUCAUAUCUGUUUCCUCAGGGAACCUUGUUAGAUCAAAGGCCAUUACGAUAAUGAGAAGUUUAUUAUAUUUUCUAACACAUACUACUUUUCAGUAGAGCUGCCAGAAUGCUGAUAGAUGGAUGGAAGAACGAAUGCUUUGGUUGAAAACAAGUAUGUCUGGGAGUGUCUAUGAUCCUCUUUCACUGAUACGGACUCAGAAUCAUUUGUUGACAAAUUGCAUUAAAUCUCUUUUUUCCAAAAUAGUUCAAAUAAAAAAUCUGAUCAGAA